rnacentral:rRNA from 1 species
ACGAACGCUGGCGGCAGGCCUAACACAUGCAAGUCGAGCGCCCCGCAAGGGGAGCGGCAGACGGGUGAGUAACACGUGGGAACCUACCUCAAGGUACGGAACAACCAAGGGAAACUUUGGCUAAUACCGUAUGUGCCCUUCGGGGGAAAGAUUUAUCGCCUUGAGAUGGGCCCGCGUCGGAUUAGCUAGUUGGUGAGGUAACGGCUCACCAAGGCGACGAUCCGUAGCUGGUCUGAGAGGAUGAUCAGCCACACUGGGACUGAGACACGGCCCAGACUCCUACGGGAGGCAGCAGUGGGGAAUAUUGGACAAUGGGCGCAAGCCUGAUCCAGCCAUGCCGCGUGAGUGAUGAAGGCCCUAGGGUUGUAAAGCUCUUUCGGCGGGGAAGAUAAUGACGGUACCCGCAGAAGAAGCCCCGGCUAACUUCGU